GCCUUGUUAGCGCAGUAGAUAGCGCGUCAGUCUCGUAAUCUGAAGGUCGUGAGUUUGAUCCUCACACGGGGCA